rnacentral:sRNA from 1 species
UAAGUGAAAUCUUUUUGUUUUCAGUGCAUCAUUUGACUCGACUGUUCGCUUGUGGGAAGUAGAACAUGGCCGAUGUUUACACACGUUGACCAAACAUACAGAACCAGUAUACAGUGUAGCUUUCAGUCCUGAUGGCAAAUACAUAGCCAGUGGCUCUUUUGAUAAAUGUGUACAUAUUUGGAAUGUUCAGACUGGCCUGUUGGUACAUAGCUAUCGUGGCACAGGAGGUAUAUUUGAAGUCUGUUGGAAUCACAGGGGUGAUAAAGUGGGAGCCAGUGCCUCUGAUGGAUCGGUUGUGGUACUUGACUUGAGGAAGUAGUCUAGGACUUUGGAUCUUCUCCCCUACCUCCUGUGAUGGAGAGGGCUGGUCCCUGCUCCUUCUGUUGCCUCCUCUGCUGUGCCAGGGGAAUGAACUGGUCAACUUUUACUUUCUCUCGAGGCUCACUUCUGGAGAGAGAGCACGAGUGACAGGAGCACUGUGUCCACCGCCAGACAGCCAACACUGCGUUGGCUCCAGUCUGACCAAAGUCUGGACUGUCAAUUGUGGUCCACACAGUUCAAGAUCUUUUGCCAUAACAUAUGUUGACAUUUUAUUGUGGAGUAUUUUGUAUUUUCUUCAAGGAUAAUUUCCUCUCGACGCUGUGUCUGUGUGGUGCCAGAAUGUUGUCAGUCACUAAGAACUAUUCCUCUGUUUGAACAUGGCAGCAUCAUUACAAGCCUCUUUGAGUUAGCUCAUUAUGUUCUAUUUGAAUUAAUGUAUAUAGUAUUAUACAAUAGUUUUAAAAAAAAAACAAUUUCCAUCUAGGUUUAAAACUAGUCAGAAAUGAUUUGUCUCCUUUGACAUUUGUAUUUUGGUUAUGUAUGGGACUUGUUUUAUUUGAAGGCUAGUCACUUUUUAGUUCCCCUAAACCAGAUCCUCCUGCCCCCAGUCCAUCUGAAUAUUUGAAACUUUGUGAUGCUAGGUCAGUAGUUUUAAACCAGACAACCCCAUACAGUGUGCUUGCGCUAUCUCUUCUCGCUAUCUUUUCUCACAUUGACGUGUCCUUAUAAAGCUAUGCUGCUUUUAGUGUCUCACACAAACUCCCAAUGAAUAGAAUGACACUACUUGUCCAACCAACACUGCUAUGUGUGAAGCUAGUUUUCUUAGAGUGAAAAUUUAUCUAUAUGCAAGCAAUGAGAUCUACAUUGGUCCUUCCUGAUCCAAGUAGUCACAGUAUGUGUUUUGUUCAAUUGAAUAGAUAAUGUGCUGGUUGUAGACGAGUACAAAAGUUGAUAGUUUAUCAGAACUAGUUCAAUCUGUUCCUUUGGUAGUGGCUUUCACUACAGAAAAAGAAAUCUGGAAAAAGCUACUUUUUCACAAAAAUUGUUUCACAUCUGUUUGUAAAUAUUUAAUCAAAUAGAGAAAAAAAUUAUUAUUAAAGGCUUUAUGUAGAAAUGGCAAUUUUGUGUUAUUGGAUUUCAGUCAACUUAUUGCAUUUGAAAAGUACAUAGCUUGAUCAGCUAUUUCUUGUACACAGCUUUUUAGGCGUCUGACAGAACUUUGUAAGCUUUUUAUGAAAAUCUUUUUUUUUUUUCACAUGAGUCCUAAGGACAAAUCAACAUAUCAAAUGUAUGAGCAGCAAUGGUAAACAGUCGUUGAUGUUAACUCUAUAUGUCUCAGCUCUGCACUGCCAUAAUGAAGAUCCAGUUGUAUUUGUGUUUGCUGUACAAGCUAGCUUCAGGAUUUCAACUUGCCAAACUUUUUACUCUAGAAAAAUUCUCAGGCAAAACUAUAAUGCUAUAAUUUGUUACAAUGGAAUUGGGUGGUGACUACAUUUUGGUAUUUGCACCAGUUCAAUCUGAUGAGCCAAUCUUCAAUGAUAGGUUGGAAAUCUUUGUUUAGGGGAAGGGAAAAAAAAACGAAUUCCUUUUUAUUUGAAUUGUUCAAGUAGAAAUCAAAGACUAUCACGCCAUUUGUCGAGCAAUAUUACACUUAAAUAGUUCAAAUUCAAUUAUAGAUUCAUAAAAGUAGAACCAAUAUAAAGCUUGAUAUGAAAUGAAUUGACCCUGAUAGAAGGUCGUCUUCUCUAUAACGUAGUUUUUAAUGUAAAAACAUUUAGUAGUUGAAAUGGAAUCCUAAUUAUGCCCCCUACAUAUUUACAUGUAUCAAUGUAGAAACUUGAGGCAACUAGAAGUUAAUGAAUUUUUUAAAUAAAAAAAUCUUCCUGUUUACAUUUCUCUUGCAACCUUAACAUAGUAGACCAAGUGACAAGUAGUCUAUACUAGAAUAUAUUAGAGAUUUGUCUAUACUAUACUAGUAUAUAUUACAGAUUUGUCUAUACUAUACUAGUAUAUAUUACAGAUUUGACUUUGAUCACAUUGUCUUAACUCAAAAUGAUGGUAGGAUACCUUUAGAGUUGCAGAUAAUUUCAUUCAGAAAUUUGAAACUUUUUUUUUGUCCAAUUGGAAAUUCUUUUUUGGACAAGCUGUCAAAGUUUCUCUCAUUAAGGUCAAAAUAUUAAUUUUUGAACUUUCUGGCUAUCUGUUCUCUCCUUCACAUUUCAUGUUGGGUAAAGAUUUACAUGACUUGGUAGAAUGAGGACAUUGUGUACAUUUCUGUAAGAGAAUCAAACCAAAGACAGGUGAGUGGAAGUGUGGUUAUUGAUUGCAAAGCUGCUCAAAACUUUUGAAGUAAAAAUCUGUCAAGUGGUAAUAGCAAGAAAUUUGAUGUACAUGAUUCUCUUCUCAACCUGAUGUACAAACCAAAUUAAUGUAUAGACGAAUCUAUUCACUUAUCAAAUAUAAUGUUGAUAUAUUUUGAUUUUUAAAAUGUGACAAUUGACCCUACACUUAGCCACCAAGUGGAAUAGAUGCCUUUUCUGUGCUUCUAGUAGUCUGAGACUUUUGAAUGAGCAGCUAGGGACACAUUGUUUUGUAUCCUUGGCUUUUAACUUUGAAUCAUGAGUCCCUUGAAUGAUUGUGUUACAGCGGACAUAGACUCCCAUUGUCAAGACAUGAUAUUCAUGUUUGGAUUAUAUGCCAUUGUUGUUUUAGGAAGACAUUUUGCCAGAGUAACUCCAGGGAUUUGGACAUUUUGUAUUGUAUAUGUUGAAAUGAUUUGCAGUUAAGAUUUGAACAAUUCAAAUAAACUUAUUGUCAGUUCAAUAGCCUCAUUCAAUAUUUUUGAAACAGUCAAACUUGGAUUAAAAUGUAACAUUCAAAAUGUUCAGUUUCCUAAUCUGUUCAUUGAUUAGCCUUUAAACCUAAACUUAGCUGUUCAAUCUUGUAGGGCUACAUCCCUCAUUCCAAGUAGUUGACCCCCUUUUAGAAUCAUCUUAACGUUCGAAGCUCAAAAUCGUAGCUGUCAAUUUUAAUAUCAAGAUCCAUCCCUUUUUAAAGGAUUUUUUAAAGUUGUUUUAACUUGAACUUAAGGAUUUCUAAAUCUUAUGGGCACAACUUGUCCUAAAUUGUGCCUGUUUGCCCUAAAAUCUAAUAAAUCUUUGAGUACUGGUACCAAGUAGGACAAAACCUCUGGCCAGCAUUUGUUAUUGAGACUUGUUUAGCUAUAUGACUUUGUUUGCCAACACAGGUAAACAAAAAAACAAAUCAUGUUGAUUUGACUGAGUUUUGACUAAUUAAAAAGGUAAACAAAUAGAUUUGAUGCUGAAAUUAUUUGUUUCAUUUGUUGUUGUUGAUGUUUUUUAAAAAAAAAAAAGUUGUCAUAAAAAGAAAACAAAAAUGCUUUUGAGAAGUGAUUGUGUUCUAGUGAUAUUGUCUUAAAUUUUCUUUGUUACACUGAAAAUAAACCAAAAAGUGAUGGACAAA